GUUGUUCAAACCACAUUUUACUACCUCUUACCGGGUGGCGCUCUCUUUCAUGGUCCUUCGAGCCGGAUGGGAACGGCUGUCCCGGGAACAUACUGUAACCAUAGGAGCAGGCUACAGUUCACAGUACCCCCCGACCAAUCUCGAGCCAGGUGGGGGGUGCAUGCCAUGCCUUGCUCGCCAUACACACACCAGCGAGAAGAGGUCAGAGUCCAGUUCCUAUCAGGAAUCAAGGUUCCCUAUCCGAGUCCGCUGUAUGUUUCGGUUCCCUGGUCCAGGGGCCCUUACCAGUCCCUGUCCAGUGUCCAGUUCUGGGUUCCAAGCCAGCUCAUGUGGUUCCUGUCCAGAGGUGCCACGCCGCUCACUGUCCCUGGGUACUCAAUGCUGCUCCCUGGAACCAUGCUGCUUCCUGAGUUGAUGCAGCUUCCUGCCAAUGUGGCCCUCCUGGCCUCCACCAUUGGGGACUGGACUGAUCCCGUCGGGGAACCUCCCCGACCUUGCAGUGGGCUCAUCUCCUGGUUUGGACAACAGAUCUUCAGCUCAGCCCUUCCUCUGUGUGCCCACCUGCAUAUCCCCAGUUAUGCUGCUGAAGGGGCAGAGACAUGGGGCGGCAGGAAAUUCUCGACUUCGAGGUGCCUUACAAACACCGGACCCGAUGGGGCGGUGACACACAAGACAGACAGCUAAUUGCCACAGCAAGUUUUUGUUUAAUAAAAAAUGUACUCUAUACAUUUUGGGGCGGCUGUGGAAAAUCUCCCUGUGGCUCCUUCAAAACUAAGAGGUUUCUGCUGCCCGCUAUGACACCCCUCCUCAUUCCGGUGCCAAGGUGUCUGGCUGUUGAACUCCCUCACCUCCCUGACCUUGGUCAACUGAUCUCUGAUUGGUUGACAUCUGGUGAUUAUCCAAACCAAUUACCUGGUUUGGACCAAUUCAGGCUGCUCUGACCUCAGUCUCCUCCAGCUGCACAGAGAGAGCGGAUGCUCUUGUGUCUCUGUGCUGCUCCCUUUCACCUCUGGACUUCUCCAUCCAAGGACUACCACCUCUGGACACAUUUACUCUGGUCUCCUUUAGUGUGUUUGCGUCACUGCCUAAAAUACCUCACAUCACACUUCACAUCAGAUGUUAUCUUCACACAUCACUCCUCUCCUCCUGUUAUGCUGGUGUGUGUUUAGGCUGGCAAUAAACCUGUAUUCUUUACCUUUGUCUUCUACUGAUCCAUCUCCCUCUGACCGGGGACCUAGGGCAGUUUUUCCAUCCACCUUUUACUAGCAACUCUAUGGAUCCACCUCUUACCGGGUGUCGCUCUCUUUCAUGCAUUGGAAAACUGAUAGAAUGAUAACACACUGACAAUUUGAAAAGUUCUUUAUCACAGUGGUGUAGGUUUUUUGGAGCGAUGGUGGAAAACAUUAUUCACACAUCUUUGGCCUGUGAAAAAAUAAGAUUUUAAAUGGACAAUAUUGAGUACAUUCUGUAUACACGUUAUAUUCUAUUAAUAAAAUAUUUUUCAGCAGUAGAGAUUUGAAUCCCUGUGGGCCCUUGGCAAAAGUAUUGCAUUAUGUAGGGAAUAGGGUGCCAGUUGGGACGCAGCGCAGGG
rnacentral:lncRNA from 1 species